GACGUGCUAAUCUGCGAUAAGCGUCGGUAAGGUGAUAUGAACCGUUAUAACCGGCGAUUUCCGAAUGGGGAAACCCAGUGUGUUUCGACACACUAUCAUUAACUGAAUCCAUAGGUUAAUGAGGCGAACCGGGGGAACUGAAACAUCUAAGUACCCCGAGGAAAAGAAAUCAACCGAGAUUCCCCCAGUAGCGGCGAGCGAACGGGGAGCAGCCCAGAGCCUGAAUCAGUGUGUGUGUUAGUGGAAGCGUCUGGAAAGGCGCGCGAUACAGGGUGACAGCCCCGUACACAAAAAUGCACAUGCUGUGAGCUCGAUGAGUAGGGCGGGACACGUGGUAUCCUGUCUGAAUAUGGGGGGACCAUCCUCCAAGGCUAAAUACUCCUGACUGACCGAUAGUGAACCAGUACCGUGAGGGAAAGGCGAAAAGAACCCCGGCGAGGGGAGUGAAAAAGAACCUGAAACCGUGUACGUACAAGCAGUGGGAGCACGCUUAGGCGUGUGACUGCGUACCUUUUGUAUAAUGGGUCAGCGACUUAUAUUCUGUAGCAAGGUUAACCGAAUAGGGGAGCCGAAGGGAAACCGAGUCUUAACUGGGCGUUAAGUUGCAGGGUAUAGACCCGAAACCCGGUGAUCUAGCCAUGGGCAGGUUGAAGGUUGGGUAACACUAACUGGAGGACCGAACCGACUAAUGUUGAAAAAUUAGCGGAUGACUUGUGGCUGGGGGUGAAAGGCCAAUCAAACCGGGAGAUAGCUGGUUCUCCCCGAAAGCUAUUUAGGUAGCGCCUCGUGAAUUCAUCUCCGGGGGUAGAGCACUGUUUCGGCAAGGGGGUCAUCCCGACUUACCAACCCGAUGCAAACUGCGAAUACCGGAGAAUGUUAUCACGGGAGACACACGGCGGGUGCUAACGUCCGUCGUGAAGAGGGAAACAACCCAGACCGCCAGCUAAGGUCCCAAAGUCAUGGUUAAGUGGGAAACGAUGUGGGAAGGCCCAGACAGCCAGGAUGUUGGCUUAGAAGCAGCCAUCAUUUAAAGAAAGCGUAAUAGCUCACUGGUCGAGUCGGCCUGCGCGGAAGAUGUAACGGGGCUAAACCAUG
rnacentral:rRNA from 1 species